ensembl:lncRNA
CAAUUAUGACGUCAUAGUUUCUCUUUACACAAUCUGGUUCAACGGCUUGUUUGGGGUGUGAUUUGACAUGAGACAAGUAGAAUCUCAGUUUGCCUUCUCUUGUGAUACGGCCCCCGUUCCUGUGAGUCUCUGACGCACCUUGAUGACAUCACUGCACUGACAGUCCGGGGCCCAGCAGGUUUCUGUUGAACACCGUCAGCUGUCAGCCGCCCGCUACCUUAAACCGGAUUCUUCGGUUUUACUGUCUGCCUUCAAAAUAAAAGCUCAGUAGCGGGAAAAGAAGCGGACGCCAAAAGCAGCGGAAAGAGAAGGAAGAGGACAGAUAAAAAAAAAAUGUAAUUCCACAUCUGUCAGCAGAGGAUGAAGUUCACAAAGAAGGAGGACAGAGACCAUUACAGCUGGUAAUAACCUUUUAACUAUUUUUAUAAAACAGCGCUAUUGACUGAGCAGUUUUGUGCUUAUUCUCUCAUUAUUUAGCAGCCAUUAUAAGGGAUGCAAAUGGAUUUGGAAG